CUAUAUCUUUAGGUCUAUCGUCUGAUUUGGCUGAAGUUGGCAAACGUUAUUCUCAUGGCGCAAUUAAAGUUCUUUCUUACCUUUAGUUACGUUUCUAAUUAAGGCUCAGUUCGGGUCUCUCGCCUGGCCGUAUUUCCUGUCUCGCCUUGCCAUUGUCCCAUAUUCUCGACCUGCAUUAAAUUCGGUGCAACGGGCGCGAAAACGUGUUUUUUUUUCUCGAAUCGAGUCCAUCGGAUCGGAUUCGAUCGGCAGUGACAUACUCUUUGUGGGAAUUAUUUCCAAGGUGAAUGGCGCCAUCGUCUGAUCAGGAAGCGUAAUUUAUACACACGAGCAAGUUGAAGAAAUUAGGCAACAGAAUAGGAUGUGUUUGUACUUUAAAUAGAAGACUUAAUUGUAGAGCGAACCAUGACAUUAACAGUCUGCAAGUAUUUCAGGUUCAAGCGAGUCAAGACUCUAAAACAGGUGUUCGUGAAGUUUGAAGUCCAGAGAAAGUGGAAUAAAAAUUAAAUUUAAAAAAAAUCUCUUUUAAACUUGAAAUAUGAACUGAAGAAUAAAGAACAUCCAUUCAAGCUGUUUUGAUAUAAAUGCAAAUUAAAACUCUACAUUCUACAUCAGUUGACAUUACGCAUCAAUGUGCGCAUAUUUUGGUCUAGAAACUAAAAAAAAGUUUAAGUAGAGUUUAACAAAAGAAUGAACAAAGAAAUGAACAAAAUAAUUUUAUUACUAUUAGUGCACAAUUGUAUAACAGACUUGAAUUAGCAACGUAACUUGAACAAACAGAAUUAGAAAUUAUCGCCUCACGUAGGACCUGUUGUUGAAUAGCAGUUGUUGUGAGAAAUUCAUAAUUCAUCAAA